UCAAACUUGGUCAUUUAGAGGAAGUAAAAGUCGUAACAAGGUCUCCGUUGGUGAACCAGCGGAGGGAUCAUUAAAGAGUUGCAAAACUCCCAAACCAUUUGUUUAUCUACCUGUUUCGUUGCUUCGGCAGGCGGCUCCUAACGGGGCCUUCGCCCUCUGGGUGCCUGCCGGAGUAUCCAAAACUCUUGUUAAUUACUGUUUUGUCUGAGUAAACUUUUAAUAAGUUAAAACUUUCAACAACGGAUCUCUUGGUUCUGGCAUCGAUGAAGAACGCAGC
rnacentral:misc_RNA from 1 species